GUGACAUCAUCGCAGGUCCUGCAGCCCCAGGAGGUGAGAUCUGCAGGUACAGGACUCCCUAAUUUUUUUUAAAGACAAUGGUCCUUUCCAUCGAUGACCCACCAAGGAUGGAGAAGGACAGCAACCACAUGGCUGCAAUGAUAUUAGACCUCACCCUGGAGAUCAUCUCCUUGAUAACUGGAGAGGAUUACACAGUAGUGAAGAAGUCGUCUGGUGAGUGUGUGACACCC